rnacentral:rRNA from 1 species
GCCCCCAGGCCUAACACAUGCAAGUCGAACGGCAGCACAGUAAGAGCUUGCUUUUACGGGUGGCGAGUGGCGGACGGGUGAGGAAUGCAUCGGAAUCUACUCUGUCGUGGGGGAUAACGUAGGGAAACUUACGCUAAUACCGCAUACGACCUACGGGUGAAAGCAGGGGAUCUUCGGACCUUGCGCGAUUGAAUGAGCCGAUGCCCGAUUAGUUAGUUGGCGGGGUAAGAGCCCACCAAGGCGACGAUCGGUAGCUGGUUUGAGAGGAUGAUCAGCCACACUGGAAGUGAGACACGGUCCAGACUCCUACGGGAGGCAGCAGUGGGGAAUAUUGGACAAUGGGCGCAAGCCUGAUCCAGCCAUACCGCGUGGGUGAAGAAGGCCUUCGGGUUGUAAAGCCCUUUUAUUGGGAAAGAAAAGCAUUCGGUUAAUACCCGAUUAUCUGACGUACCCGAAGAAUAGCCUCCGUCCCC